AUUGAACGCUGGCGGCAGGCCUAACACAUGCAAGUCGAGCGGAGCGGCGGACGGGGGAGUAAUGCAUAGGACUCUGCCUGGAAGUGGGGGAAAACGUCCGGAAGCGGGCGCUAAUACCGCAUACUAUCAGAUGAGCCGAGGUCGGAUUAGCUAGAUGGUGGGGUAAAGGCCUACCAAGGCGACGAUCCGGAUCAGGUCUGAGAGGAUGAGCAGUCACACGGGAACUGAGACACGGUCCAGACUCCUACGGGAGGCAGCAGUGGGGAAUAUUGGACAAUGGGCGAAAGCCUGAUCCAGCCAUGCCGCGUGUGUGAAGAAGGUCUUCGGAUUGUAAAGCACUUUAAGUUGGGAGGCGUUACCAACAGAAUAAGCACCGGCUAACUUCGUGCCAGCCGCCGCGGUAAUUC
rnacentral:rRNA from 1 species